AGCAGCCGCGGUAAUUCCAGCUCCAAUAGCGUAUAUUAAAGUUGUUGCAGUUAAAAAGCUCGUAGUUGAAUUUCGGGGUUAGUAGGUUGGUCAUGCCUCUGGUAUGUACUGGUCUCACUGAUUCCUCCUUCCUGAUGAAUCUUAAUGCCAUUAAUUUGGUGUUUUGGGGAAUUUGGACUGUUACUUUGAAAAAAUUAGAGUGUUUAAAGCAAGCUAACGCUUGAAUACAUUAGCAUGGAAUAAUGAAAUAGGACGUUCGAUCCUAUUUUGUUGGUUUCUAGGAUUGACGUAAUGAUUAAUAGGGAUAGUUGGGGGCAUUAGUAUUCAAUUGUCAGAGGUGAAAUUCUUGGAUUUAUUGAAGACUAACUACUGCGAAAGCAUUCGCCAAGGAUGCUUUCAUUAAUCAAGAACGAAAGUUAGGGGAUCGAAGACGAUCAGAUACCGUCGUAGUCUUAACCAUAAACUAUGCCGACUAGGGAUCGGAUGAUGUUAAUUUUUANGUACUCAUUCGGCGCCUUAA
rnacentral:rRNA from 1 species